rnacentral:lncRNA from 1 species
GUUUUAUGGGAAGUGAACAAGCCCCAGGAAGAAAGUCAAACACCGUAGGAUCUCACUUACAAGGAGAAGAAAAAGCAAGAACUAACCAACAGGUGGCACAGGACAUUGGAUUGGGGGUUCCCAGAGGCAAAGCGGGGCGGUGAGCCAGGGUGAAAGAGAGGAUUAGGCACAAGUGUGUGGCGAGGGCCUGUGAUUGGGCUUACGCUGGUGAAGAUGAUGUAACCUACACAGAAGUCUAAAGCAAUGAGGAUGUAAAUCUGGAAGAUAUAGGAUGUUCUAAUGCAGGGUUAAGGCAAUAAAUUCACCUACAAUCAAAAAUCAAAAUAGGAGUCCAGAACGACGGCAUAAAGCUUUGGGGGCUGAAAGAGAUUCCAGAAGGUGAACUUCCAAGGAUGGAAAAUAACCUCCAAAUGCUUACGGAUGCGACAGAAAUGUAGACCAUUCCAAAAAGGCGAAGAGGGAUACUACCAACAGAACAGGAUCUGUGCUAAACCCAUGAACCAACGGAAAAUGUUACCGUCCAUGAUGUUACUACUAAUCACCUUCACCAAUAAUCCAAACAGGCCCACGUCUUCCCAUGUUCAGGCAAAAGUUUUUCUUCCUUCUUCCUUUGGGGAAGUGUACCAGAUGCGUUCAUAGAUGGUAAGAUUCUCAUGGUUCUUUUUCUGGUGCUUAUUGGUAACGUAUCCUCACAAUUGCUACUGAUUUAUGAUCCCUGUCUGCACCGUAGCAUGAAAUCUAUGUUUCCUAACAGUGCUAAUGUGAUCUGCACCCAUGAUGUGAAACAGUGAGGCCCGGGCCACCAAAGCAGAACGUGGCCACUUACCCGCUCCACCACAGGGCCGGACCUGAAUUGUACUUUUGGACCAACCUUUUGCCUGAACUUGGGAAGACGUGGGCCUGUUUGGAUUAUUGGUGAAGGUGAUUAGUAGUAACAUCAUGGACGGUAACAUUUUCCGUUGGUUCAUGGGUUUAGCAUGGGUCCUGUUCUCUUGGUAGUAUCCCUCUUCACCUAUUUGGAAUGGUCUACCUUUCUGUAGCAUCAGGAAACAUUUGGAGGUGAUUGUCCAUCCUUGGGAGUUCACCUUCUGUAAUCUCUUUCAGCCCCCAAAGCUUUAUGCUGUCAUUCUGGACCCCUUUUUGGACUUUUGCUUUUAGGUGAAUUUAUUGCCAUAACCCUGCAUUAGAACAUCCUAUAUCUUCCAGAUUUACAUCCUCAUCGCUUUAGACUUCUGUGUAGGUUACAUCAUUUUCACCAGCGUAAGCCUAAUCACAGGCCCUCACCACACACUUGUGCCUAAUCCUCUCUUUCAAACUCCCUCACCGCCCCGCUUUGCCUCUGGGAACCCCCAAUCCAAUGUCCUGUGCCACCAGAUGGUUAGGGCUUGCUUUUUCUUCUCCUUGUAAGUGAGAUCCUACGGUAUUGGACUUUCUCCCUGGGGCUUGUUCACUUCCCCUGAAACCCUCACAGCCAUUCUGGUGGUCACAAAUGGCUGGAUUUCAUCCUUUGUUCUGGCUGAGUGGUAUCAUAUUGUGUGUCUAUAGCAAAUCUUCCUUCUGUAUUCAUCCCUUGCUGGGCACCAGGGCGGCUUCCAUGUCUUGGAUAGCAGGAGUAGGGCUGUGGUGAUCUCAUCGGUGC